AAACAAAGUGACAGACGCCCUCCCCCCUCCUCGUCCCACCACCACCAUAGCUCAGCGUUACACAAGAGUAGUGUUCUCUUCUGGACAGCUUUGAAGUACCCCCCGAAACCCCCCACCCGCCCCCAGCGCCGUUUGUUCUUUAAAAGCCUAGUUGCUGGGACAGUAUUUGUAACCAACUCUUUUUUUUUUUUCUUUUUUUUUGCUGUGGUGUGUGCAAACGUUAUUCAUUCAAACUCCACUUUCUUCAGGUAAAAUCACAGAACUUUUAAAAAAUAAUGGAAACAGAAGCUCCAUCCCCACCCCCUUCAACCUCAUGUUUCUCAAUUUGAGGUAUCCAUGAUUUACAACAACAAAAAAAAAGAGUUCCUUGAACACUGUACGAUUCAGGUCUUUUUUGUUUUUUCUUAAAUAUAAUUUAUCUUGCUGAGACAGCAAGUCAAGUUUACAAAGACGCCUUUAGGAAAGAAUCCUAAAAGAUACAGCAGGGUCAGGCCCUGCACCACGCAGAAAUCCUAUUUAUAAUUUUUUUUCUUUUUUUCUUCUUUUUUCUACACUUUCACAUCUUGACCUUUUCUUUUCUUUCUUGUUUUUUUUUGCUUGCUUCCCCCCCCCCAAAUUUCAGUUGUCUGGACCCUCUGUGAACAGGAGGAACCAGGCAGCAAAUUUUAUCUACAUAAAUAUUCACAUGAAAAUAGUAACUUACAAAAAAAAAAAA